rnacentral:rRNA from 1 species
CCUACGGGUGGCAGCAGUGGGGAAUAUUGCACAAUGGGGGAAACGCUGAUGCAGCGACGCCGCGUGAGGGAAGGAGUAUUACGGGAGGUAAAGCUCUAUCAGCAGGGAAGAAAAUGACGGUACCUGAUUAAGAAGAGCCGGCUAACUACGUCCCAGAAGCCGAGGUACUACGUAGGGGGCAAGCGUUAUCCGGAUUUACUGGGUGUAAAGGGAGCGUAGACGGCAGAACAGUGCUGGAGUGAAAUGCCGCGGCCUAACGCCGGAACUGCUUUGGAAACUGUGCAGCUAGAGUGCAGGUGAGGUAGGUGGAAUGCCUAGUGUAGCGGUGAAAUGCGUAGAUAUUAGACGGAACACCAGUUGCGAAGGCGUCUUACGGGACUGUAACUGACGUUGAGGCUCGAAAGCGUGGGGAGCAAACAGGAUUAGAUACCCUAGUAGUC